CGUGCCAGCAGCCGCGGUAAUACAUAGGUCACAAGCGUUAUCCGGAAUUAUUGGGCGUAAAGCGUUCGUAGGCGGUUUGUUAAGUCUGGAGUUAAAGACUGGGGCUCAACCCCAGCCCGCUCUGGAUACUGGCUGACUAGAGUUACAUAGAGGUAAGUGGAAUUCUUAGUGGAGCGGUGGAAUGCGUAGAUAUUAGGAAGAUCACCAAUGGCGAAGGCAGCUUACUGGAUGUACACUGACGCUCAGGGACGAAAGCGUGGGGAGCAAACAGGAUUAGAUACCCUGGUAGUCCACGCCGUAAACGAUGAUCAUUAGCCGCUAGAAUAUUUAGUGGCGCAGCUAACGCAUUAAAUGAUCCGCCUGAGUAGUAUGCUCGCAAGAGUGAAACUUAAAGGAAUUGACGGGGACCCGCACAAGCGGUGGAGCAUGUGGUUUAAUUUGAAGAUACGCGUAGAACCUUACCCACUCUUGACAUCUUCCGCAAUACUAUGGAGACAUAGUGGAGGUUAACGGAAUGACAGGUGGUGCAUGGUUGUCGUCAGCUCGUGCCGUGAGGUGUUAGGUUAAGUCCUGCAACGAGCGCAACCCCUGUCUUUAGUUACUAACGGAUAAUGCCGAGGACUCUAGAGAGACUGACUGGGUAACCAGUAGGAAGGUGGGGACGACGUCAAAUCAUCAUGCCUCUUACGAGUGGGGCAACACACGUGCUACAAUGGACGGUACAAAGAGAAGCAAUAUGGUGACAUGGAGCAAACCUCAAAAAACCGUUCUCAGUUCGGAUUGAAGUCUGAAACUCGACUUCAUGAAGUUGGAAUCGCUAGUAAUCGUAGAUCAGCUACGCUACGGUGAAUACGUUCUCGGGUCUUGUACACACCGCCCGUC
rnacentral:rRNA from 1 species